rnacentral:rRNA from 1 species
AUUGAACGCUGGCGGCAUACCUUACACAUGCAAGUCGAACGGCAGCACGGGUGCUUGCACCUGGUGGCGAGUGGCGAACGGGUGAGUAAUACAUCGGAACGUACCUUAUCGUGGGGGAUAACGCAGCGAAAGCUGUGCUAAUACCGCAUACGCCCUGAGGGGGAAAGCGGGGGAUCGCAAGACCUCGCGCGAUUAGAGCGGCCGAUGCCUGAUUAGCUUGUUGGUGGGGUAAAAGCCCACCAAGGCGACGAUCAGUAGCUGGUCUGAGAGGACGAUCAGCCACCCUGGGACGGAGACACGGCCAGACUCCUCCGGGAGGCAGCAGUGGGGAAUUUUGGACAAUGGGGGCGACCCUGAUCCAGCAAUGCCGCGUGAGUGAAGAAGGCCUUCGGGUUGUAAAGCUCUUUUGUCAGGGAAGAAACACCGGCUCUAACACAGUCCGGGAAUGACGGUACCUGAAGAAUAAGCACCGGCUAACUACGUGCCAGCCGCCGCGGUAA